rnacentral:rRNA from 1 species
UACGUAGGGGGCAAGCGUUGUCCGGAAUCAUUGGGCGUAAAGAGCGCGUAGGCGGCCCUGUAAGUCCGCUGUGAAAGUCAAGGGCUCAACCCUUGGAUGCCGGUGGAUACUGCAGGGCUAGAGUCCGGAAGAGGCGAGUGGAAUUCCUGGUGUAGCGGUGAAAUGCGCAGAUAUCAGGAGGAACACCAGUGGCGAAGGCGGUUGCCUGGGGCUUUGCUGACGCUGAGGCGCGAAAGCGUGGGGAGCGAUCCGG